rnacentral:rRNA from 1 species
GACGAACGCUGGCGGCGUGCUUAACACAUGCAAGUCGAACGGAAAGGCCCUUCGGGUUACUCGAGUUGCGAACGGGUGAGUAACACGUGGAUGAUCGGCCCUGCACUUUGGGAUAAGCCUGGGAAACUGGGACUAAUACCGAAUAGGACCACGCGCUUCAGGGUGUUGGUUGGAAAGCUUUUGCGGUGUGGGAUGGGCCCGCGGCCUAUCAGCUUGUUGGUGGGGUAAUGGCCUACCAAGGCGACGACGGGUAGCCGGCCUGAGAGGGUGACCGGCCACACUGGGACUGAGAUACGGCCCAGACUCCUACGGGAGGCAGCAGUGGGGAAUAUUGCACAAUGGGCGCAAGCCUGAUGCAGCGACGCCGCGUGAGGGAUGACGGCCUUCGGGUUGUAAACCUCUUUCAAUAGGGACGAAGCGCAAGUGACGGUACCUAUAGAAGAAGCACCGGCCAACUACGUG